AUAGAGACCUGCACUGCAUGGUGGGAACUCAUAUAUUCAGUGACAGCUGAAUGCUGUAUGCAAGAGGUCUAUGUCGUGGACAGCAAGGGAAAGCAGAAUCUAUUACCAACCGUGUGACAAAGCUACUCUAACUCCGCAUCGGUGAAAUAGGCCAGGUGCAGUCUCAUAUGUUAGUGUGAUUAAGGAAAUCACAAUUUCAAUAUAUACCUGGAAGAGUUUGCAGCUAAAGUGAAUAUUUGGUUUCCAAAUCAGAAAAGGGAUAGGGGAAGAAUUCAACCAACUAUGACCAUCUGAAUGUGGAGUUUAGCCUAGUAAUCUUGGCUUCCUGUUUAAUUGACAGAGAGAAACUGAUGACAAUUCAUCCUGUUUGAAGAUAACUGUCUAACAUCGCUGAAAAGAAACAACUCAUGGGAGUACCCCUCUUUCACCAUGGACCCCAGAAGAACCUGUUUAACUAAUUUAGGAAGAACAGUUUCUUUCUGGAUGGUAACAGCUAAGUCAGAGGAUUCUUUCUCUAAAUGAAUGUUUGGCUGAAUGGAGCUGAGGGGCCCAAAUAAUUUCUUUGUGACUGUACGUGUGUCUAAGGUACUUAGUUUUAUCAGAUAAAUUAUCAGCUAUUCACUCACUGUCAAUAUAUGACACAGAUCACUGAUAUGUGUGUGAUAUGUGUGUGUGUGUGUGUGUGUGUAUGUACAUCUGCACCUAUGUAUCUACAUGUUGAAAUAGAAAAUAAGAUUAGCUUAUGGGAAUGCACUGGCUAAAGAAAUUAAAAUAAGCAUCAUAUACUUAAGAUCAGCAGUCUCAUUGCACAAUACUUGGAUUACUCAAAUCCUGGGAGUUUCUUUGUACCUUAUUGCCACACUAAUGGCUGGCACAUUUGAUUUCAUAGUAAUUCUAGGUUACCGCAUCUGUGGAGCAGCAUCCUUCAGAAGUUUUAGUUUUCUUAGUCAUAUUCUGUGUAGCCUUCUUACCCCUCACAAGGUCUGGUAGAAAUGCAAGUCAAGCCCAGCGUUCCAGGGACAUGGGUAGUUCAGAACAGCAAUUCCAAAAGUUUCUGUGUGAAUGUGGCUGCUGUCAGUAUCCUGCAUUUCUUGUGGGAUUGCUGGCAUUGAUCUCAUCAGCUUUUUAAUUAAAGGUGCUGGUCAGUAAGGAACAACUUUUGAUCAUCAGCCACUCUCCUGGACUAUGGUGCCAUUGAUGGACUAUAUCAGUGAGUUACAGCAAUAGGCCCAGUAUGCCUACAGUAGUGGUAGAAGGGGGCUAAGAAAGUUACAAAAAAUAGCACAGUAUCAUGGAAGAAAUUCCUAACUCUCAGGCAUGUUACUUGGUCUUGUUAGAAUCAAUAAUGGAACUAGAAAUGCUGUAUUAGUGUGAAACUGAACCAGAUAAAGUAUUUUGAAACUUGCUGAAGGGAGCAGUCCAAUAAUAAUGAGGAAAAGUGGAUGGAUGGAAAAGACGUCCCAUGUUCCUUUUGCAUGUUUCUCUAUCAAAAGGACAAAGGACCAGUUCUCUCCAAGGAAUAGUAGUUGCAAACUUGGAAUGCAUCAAAAAAUAUCAGUAAUAGUGGGAUUGAUAUAUGUGUAAAAUUUGGUACUUGUGCUUUAAUUCAGAUCUGUUUCCUUUUACUCAUAGCAGCACUCAACUUUAAAUAUUUCACCUGUUUUGUUUCACUGCUGUAUCACACAUGGAAUAAGAAACGUGUUGUUAUAGAUCAGGUUCUACAGAGGGAACAUCACCCCCUGUGCUUGUAAGGGUCCUUAUUCAUCUAAUUUAAGUCUCUAAUGGAAUUUUACCAACUUAUCGGAAUUAAUCAAGUUGUAAACUACAGUAUCUAAUAAGAUGUAGAUUUCUGUUCUGCUCUACUAUUUGUACCACCAUUUGAAGUUCUAUAACAGCAUACCAUUUUCCACCUUUGUCAUAACCUCAUGUAGCCAGUUCCUCUAAAAGAUGCACAAAUCUACCCUGGGUGUUUUACAAAGCAUUUCCUUUCUUUAAAGGGUAAUUUUCAUUGCAACACCUGCAUAUGGCACACAGUGCCAUGCAUGACAUACAUAUCGAGUCUUGGAAUGUCCUCCCUAAAGAAUAGUCAGUGAAAAUACUGAUAGUGAAAAGCUAGUCUUAAACUAGAUACUAAGUAAUGUGAGGAGUCUUCAGAGGCAGAGGUAUCUCAUGUGCUAAGACGAAUUCUCUGUAGAAUAUCUCAGGUUCUUAGUAAUGCAUUAAUUUUAGAUACUUUUCUCCAUAUUCAGAGUCUGACUGAUACUAUACUGCAGCUUCCCCAGAAAGCUAGUAUCAAUGUCUAGACAACUAGUAGUCUGGUAGGGAGGGUUUUUUUUUUUCCAGUGAUGUGGCUGAGGGUAGAUGGAAAUGUGGGUAUGUGGAAUUGAAGGUACAUGUAGUUUACUCAGUUCAAGUUCAGGCAAUCCAGACUGUUAGGUUAUGUGAUUAAAAGCUAAUCUCCAUAAAUAUGGAGGAGCAGAGGAGCAGUGACAGGCAGAAGAACUCCCAAUAACCUAAUCCGAGCAAAGGGGGUGCCCUGAUUUGGCUACUUGUAAGGCAGUCAAAGGAGGGCGAUCAGCCCAUUGUCCAGGUGUGAGACCCACCAGAUAAGUCUAAGAGGGGGUUACUGCAUACAGAGGUAUGGGACUCCUUAUGGGAUGUCAGGAAGAACAUUUAGGGAUUGUGCAAGACUUGUUAUGGGACAUUUAAGGAAAGAACCAAAGGUAGGAAAGGAAAGGAUUAAGACAAACUGGGGAGAAACAAGCAUGGGAAAAUAGGAAAGGAUAAAAAGGGCUAGUAAUGUGUAAAGAGGUUGCCAAUCAAUACAAUUCUCUGGCCAUGCCCUGUGCCUGAUGACUGUAGUCUGGCCUGUUUUCUUAUUUAACUCUAUUUCUAUUUUCCUGGGUAGGGGGAUUUUCUGUUCCGUAUGCAUGUGAGUGUAUGAAAGUCUAAGAGCCAGCAACUGGAGAGACUGGAAUGCAUCCAUAUUGUGUGUGAGUGCAUAUGGGCGUGUGUAUAAUUACUAGUGAACAACAAACCAGACUAGUUGCUGAAUAGGAUAAGAGGUUUAGGAGUCAGGUAUCAGAAAAGCCAUGAGUCUGGGCUGAAUACUGGAGAGACAUGAGUCUGAGAGUUGGCAGCUGGAGGGCCUGAGGUGUCUAAGGCAGCUACUAGAGAGACCAGGAAGCCUGAGGAUCAGCUACUGUAUAAACCCAUUUGCUUGUGUGUGUGUUUCCGUUUGUGAGAUACCUGGGAGAUAAAGGGAUCCAAGGCCAGCCAUUGGAUGAACUGAGUGUCUAAGGCCAGUUAGUGGAGUAUCCAUAGUGUGUGUGCACCCAUGUGUGUGUGUAUUUGUGAGUGAGGAAGUCUCCAGUAACUGGAGUGGGGCUGCAGACCUUAGGAGUCUGUAUGUCCAGGUGCCAGGAACUUGGGAGACCAGGAGAUCUAGCGGCCAGCUAUUGAACUCUGUAUCAUACUGCAUAUAUGUGUAUAUAUGUGUAUAUUUUCAACUAAUAGACUUUCAUCUUGAAAAUAUGAAAAUAUGAAAAUAUCACCAGAGAGAACAGGAUCAAGCUGCUCAUGCUGAUUGUAUUUGUGUGUUUUCUGUCUGUGUUGAUCUCUGUGACCAGCCGUGUAUACAUAUGCAUGUUGUGUGUAGAUAUGUGCCUACCGGGAAUACAUGGUCAACCUUGCUACUCGCUGGACCUGGGAACACGGAUCUGCGUGGGUCUCCCCUCUGUCAGGUUACUGGAUUGUGCAACCCCUAACACAGAGUUUGUCCUGUUCAUCUCAAACAAAGACUGGAACAGGCACUGACGAUAGCUAAAACAGAUCCAUAUUACUCUCUGACUCUUGACCUGUUCGUGACAUGUCAGCUGGCAUGAGUUAUGGUCACGUUGUAAAAACCCACCUUGUUUGCUAGAGCUGAUACUCCUUUGCUGAACAAGACUACUAUCUUCCCAGGGACCUUCUUUCUUGGGAUUACACAAGGCUUCAGCAGGCACAAAUUCAUUUCUAAAAAGCUGCUCUGUAUUGGAGAGGGAGCAUAUGCAGCGUGUGAUACGGCAUCUGCCACAGUAAGUAAGCUUUUAAUUGAAUAUUUGAGGAAAUAAACAUGUAAAACCCAUGUAUCUUGAUGUCAAAUAAGUUAUUGUUGCCCCAACGCUUUUUUGAUUUUUUCCAUUUUUUUUUUGGCAGGAAGGUUUGAAAUAUUGUACAUGUUGGAGACAGGAGAACUUCUCAUGCAAUUGUCUACCAAGAUAGAAAAUAUAGCAUUGUAUUAUUGCUGCUACAGAACCCCCUUCUCCCUCGCCCCAAAUCUUGGCAGCUAUCAAAGUGGCAUUUGGGAUCUAAGCUUAACAAUGUUUCUGCUCACAUCUAAAUACAUAUAUUGAGCAAAGAGGGUAAGAAAGGGAAUUGGCAUAUUUUCAGUGGACUACUGCACCAGUAGUAACUGGAAAAAUCACUCUCACAUUACCUCUGUGCCUCUUUUCAGUUCUGUAAUCCUUUAAAACAAGCAGUGUGGUUUUUUUUUUCUCUCCAUCUCUUUUAUAUAUACAUACAUACACACCUUACAGGAGGCUUGUGCAGCUCAGAAAGGAAUGAUGUUGAUCCAUCCCUCCAUAAUCCAAUCAUCUUUCAAUGCCUUUCCUCUUUUCCUUCACCUAUCCCACACACUUGCUUCAGAUAUAGAGCUGAAGAACAGCUCCUCAGCAGGAAACAUAUUCUUCUCUAAAGACCCUGCUAGGACAUUUUCCAACUCUUCCACACAUCUGCAGUACUAUUAGUUACUUUAUAUAUCUCUCAAUAGGACACCUACCAACUUUAUUCCUGUGCUGAGAUAAUAGAUUUAUUUUCUCCCACCAUUCAGUAUGGGUGAGAUAGAAACUGAUGCGGGAGAGCUCACACUCCCAUUUGUGCAGCCCAUGCUGGCAGUACCAGUGGGUCUCCUCAAGCAGUGUGCUACCUACUGUAAGUUCACUCUGCAGGAUCAAGCUGUCUGUUUGACCCUCCUCCAGUUCACUGACAAUGUCAGAAGUGAUGGUCCCUACUGCUUUUUACAGGGUCAUUCCCUGCAUCUUCAUGGCAUUUUUCUCCAUGUGACAAAUCUACACAGCCCAUUUGAAUUAAUUUAGCAAGUAAGAUUUUGUGAGACAAAGGUGUCAGAAUCUUUAUAAGAAAAAAACAGGCCCUUGAUAUUCUGAGCCUAAUUCUCACUACACGUGCAGAUCUUACUCUUGUAAUUCACUUGGGCCUGGCCCACCUCUCACUUAAGAGUACUAUAAGCUAUUGAUUUCCACAAGCUCACCUGCAAAAGGAGUCAAAAACUGGACGAAGGGAGUCCCUCUUCCAUUAAUUAUGCCUUUCUCUCAUAGAAUUUGCUCAUCAAUAUUUGGUAUGGUCUUAUUUUUUACAAACCCAUUCUGCUUAUUUGCUUUGAACCCAACAUCUUCUAUCUGUUUAAAGAGCCUUCUGUAAUAAUUACUGUCUUUAUUUCAGUAAACUGUGAAGCAAAAGAGCAUUACCAGGCGCACACACAGGAAAGCAGGCUAGGACAGCUCAGCAAUACCAACAGAAGCACAGACUCAUUGCAGACAGGACACAUCAAGUGUUUAGAUCAGGGACAGUGCAGCCAGUGGUUUGAGCUCUUUGGAGCAAGGCCUGACUCAGUUCUGCAGUGGGAGCCCAACAUGAUUCACAGUGUGCAGGGUCCCUUCAUUCUUUGGGGCUUCAGAAGAGAACAUAGGAGAUUCUGGCACAGCUUCAAGCAUAUGUAACAAGAUGACUGGCUUCAGUUUGAGAAUGAGUAGCCUAUGCAUUGCGGUACCAUCUCUAGCAUGUAAUUGGUUAUGGAAUUCCAUUUGUUUUACUGUAUUAUAAUUUAAUAAUAAUUUAUUGUAUUUACUAUAUUUUUAACUCAGCUGAUGAAGUUUAUAUCAGAGAUACAGGCCUGUUCUGAGAAAGCAAUUAAGGAGAUCUAGAGGGUUUGCUAGCUGGGUAGGUGAAGCAUUGGUUGAUCGUCAGGGAGAGCAGUUUGGUUCCCAGGAAAAGGACAUUAAACAGGGUGCUAAAAGGGCCAGUAAUGGCCUGAAGUUAGGGAGUUAGAUUUGGAUGAGGAUAAAUGAAUGACAGCCUAUGCACUCACCAAACUGACUGCUUCAGGCCCCGUCUAAUUUAGUCAGCAUCACUGUGACUAAAAUGAGUGGUAGUUUAUUUUUUUUCUUCACAGCCAGAAAGGCUCAACUUCAAGAAACUGAAUUUUUCUAAAAGGGAACAUGUGAUUCAGAAACAGAAUUGUGCCAUAAUGCUUUUGUGCCACGGGCUUCUGCAGCAAGUCCCAUGGCCUCUGUCAUGGAGCUACACGGGGCUCCACCCUUGAGUGUCACAUGAGACCUCAUCACAGCAUGCUGUUCUCACCUCCAUCCAGGUCCUUCUUCCACACAGACCUUCUCUUGUCAAGGCUCCUCAUAAUGACAAUCGAAAUAGUGAGCCACUGCCUGUGAAAGAAGAUAUAUUCACAGAUAAGGGCCACGUCUGCUCUCUAUUUUUUUGUAAUUGGGGGAGAGGUGGACUGGUGCUUGAGAAAACACAUGCCUAAAACAGGCUUUAAUGCCUGAUUAAGGUGAAUGUAAUAUUUUAGCCCAGAAAUGCACUUGGUCAUCAGUGACAUCCAUAAUAAUGCAGGCUAGUCUGGGGUAGCGUUUUGCUUUUUUUGUUUAGUGUGAAGGGAUAGUCUGUAGCACUGGUUAGAACCACUGCCCAAAGAGGUUGAAGAGAGUCAGGAGAGGAGGGAAACCCAUUUUUUCCCUUGAGCUUUUGCUGAGCCUAGAGCCAAUGUGUGGGUGGAAUCCACAGGAGAGCAAAUACAGUGAACUCAGCCCUUUCGUGAUUCAUUUGGGGUCUUACAUGUGAAAUGGGAUUGAUAACACUGACAUAUAUUUUGCUUAGAGAUGUCUGCUUUUAGCUGUCUGCUAGGUAGAUGCAGUACAGCGAUCUCAUUAAGAAGGCGAGGCAAAAAAAUCUGGUCCCCAGCCGUCAGCUCCUUCCAGUUUUAAGAGAGGAGAGUAACUUUUCUGAGGGCAGAAGCCUGAAAAUGAAUGUUAAAGGUCUAUCCUGGAAAUCAUGGUGAGCCUCUAAAUGGUAGCCUGUUCCAGGCACACAGAAUUCUAAGUGAAGAACAGAAAAAGCACAAAAUUUAGAAGAUAUAUUUCUACUGAUUUUAUGGUAGGUUUAUGUCACCUUGCUUCUGAGAGAUCAGUGUUGAAGAUGAUUAUGUUGCAUCAUUAAGGAUCAUCUAAUCUACUGUAUUGGUUCAGGACUUUGCAAAACAUUUCAGAUGUUUUUUCAAACAAAAAAAGCCUCAAAUGUGUUGACGCAUCAUUUAGUCAAGUGGAUAUUUUGCUGGGGUUUAUUUGGACCCUAGCAUCUGUUUAUUGAUGGCUAUUUCAAAGCAAUCUAUUUCUGCAGGAUGCAAUUGGCAGUGUGUGUGUAAGCGUAUUGUCUGCUGCUAAGAGGAGAAAAGACAUUACUUUGUCACCAUUUUAAGCAAAAUACUGACAUUAAUUUCUUCAGAAGCAAAUACAGAUGACUUGUAGUAGAAACUGCUAAUAUCCUAAUCAAAAGAUUAACAGAGUGGCUAUUUACAGUUGUGUUAUGAUUAAAUAUCCUCUCUCUCUUUCUGUCUCUCUCUUAAAUGCACUUCCUUACAUGAUAAAAAUAUUAAUAUGCAUUGGAUAUCCUUAUUUGCCCAUUUUAGCAUGCUUUGGAAGGGUUCAGAAGUCUCUGUGCCGCAUAAGCAGAGAAACAAUGGCCUUACCCAUCUUUAUUUUCAGGGGCAGUAGGACAAAAAAAAUCUUGUCUGACCCAGUUACAGUUAUUUGUCUUUCCAAAAAUAUUUUCCACAUGGAGAUCUCCAAGUCUGAGUGCCAUCUAUGAGGACUUCUUGGAUUUCUUUUACAGAGAAGUCUCUGGAGGAAGCCCAAGUGCACGACUGGGCUAUGAUGACAAGAUUUUUUCGGUGAGAAACAAGGACACUUGUGUGCAGAGGAGCCUACUUCCCAGUCAUGCAGUUUUUGAUAGUUCUCAGUCAGGACUAUAUGGCUCAUCAGAAAUUCUGUGCUGGCAAUGCAGACAUAGAACUUCAAUCUGAAUAUGUGUAGCUAUGCAGAUGCUCUGCAGUCUUUAGGAUGGAUGUUCUGAAAUGGCAGUUAGGCUGCAAAGUGCAUGUCCCAUCCAGUCACCCCACUAUAUCUCAGUACUGUUGUUCUUUCCACUUUAUUUUCUUGUAUACAUUUCUGUCUUCUGAGUGGCAAAGCUACACAGGUGGAAACAUCUGAUAUUUAUUUGAGAGUAGAUAGCCUACUGAAGAAUUUUGAAAAACCAAAAAUUGAAUCUUGGAAAGAGACAGGGCAGUGUCUGCAACAUCAAAGAGAUUUCAUGUGGUGUGUUUUAUUAGCUGAUGGUGCAUCAGCUCAUUAAUGUGGGAUCAUUAAUAUCAUCAGGAUGCAGUGAACUCUUGAUGUUGAGACAAAAAGGACAUGGAUACAGUUUGUAGCAUGCAGGAAGCCAAAAUCAAGACAAGGAGGGGAGUACAGUGAGAUUUUAGUAGAACUUCCAACAGAGAUCUGGACAUCCGUUAGCACGAUCUCCUGGGAUUAUGUCAAGAAUCUCAUUCAUCUCAAAAUCCUGUCAACUUUGUGAGACAGCAGUACCUCAACUGCGCUGAAUGCUGCAGAGAUCUGGCAGUUCAGUUGUGGCCACUGUCCUUCCCACAGAGCUUAAGGGAAGCUGCCACCACCUGGCUAUGUAUCCUAUCCAACUGGAAAGCCUAAUUGUGAAGAAACCAAGAAAAUUUCAAAGGUCAAAGGAGGAGCAGCCAUUUUUAGCUUUCCAGCUGUGUUUCUUGGGAGUGGCAGAUUGCACACUAUAAGGCAGACAAGUUUUGUCCACUGAGCAAUGUGCUGUUUGGCUGUGGGCUAGAAUGCAACCUGCCAUAAGGUGUACACCAAAUACUUUGUUUAAAGAGUCCCUGAGACUUUCUCUUAGCAACAGGCACAGACAUUGGUGCCUGCCUUUUUGCUAGCUUUGGAGAAAAGUUUUUUCCUAGUACUAACGAGCUCUGUGAGAAAGCCAGACUGAGAAAUGAAGAAUGUCACUCCUCCUCUGCAAAAGGAUUUUAUUGCCCUGGAUUCUCUGGGUCCAGAGAAGCUGUCCUGACUCUCAUCUCCACAGCAGGAGAUAACAGUGCCUGGAGUGAGGCAGCUAAUUCCUGGCUAGCCAGCUAGCUAUCUGACAACCUCCAGUCACUCUGCUGGGCAUGAUUUAGGACUUGUCUUAAUAGGCAAAUAUGUAGGCAUCACUGAGCUAAUAUAAUCCUUGCUGCUUACACUUUUUUCAGGGAGUGGCAUAGCUGUGUAUUUUCUGCUCUGUCACUCUACCCUUGGUGGGAGAGUUGAAGCUACAGGAGUUGUGACAUCUGUCCCUCCUAUGCAGACUGGCCCAGGCUUCAACUGGGACUUCAGCACCAUCCUUUGCAUUACCUACAUGUGAGAAUUGGGUCUGUUCCACAGCUCAGGUGCUAUCCCUGAACCAGGACAGCUUGGCACCUUUCCCACUGCCGGCAAGUCCCUACAAGACAAACUCUUCCCUUCAAUAAAUAAUAAUGAUUUCUGGUGGACAGAAAGGGCAAAGUUAUGUCAAGCAAAAUGAAAGGGAUCCCAGAAAUUAGUUUCUUCUUUUUUUUGAAUAACAUUUGUCUGUGCUGUUUUGCACAAAUUAAAGCAAGCUAGGGCUACAGAACAGUAAUGAUUACAGUUAACGAGGGGCAAUUGAAAGGUAUGAAGUAGUUCUUCCAAACAAAUUCUAAUCGAAGCUGGAACCGCACAGACACUGCACUCAACAAGCUUUCCUAUGAAUAAUGCACCUAAUUACCAGCUGCUUUUUUCAUAACAUGGAUAAAAAUGUGAUCACAUAUAAAAUUCUCACUGUGUUUCCUAGGAUACAAGGUGAUCCUCAUUUCAAACUAGCUUGAACACGGAAAACGAGCAAACUUAAUUUUAAUAAAAACAAGGAAACUCACACAUGUGAAAUAUAAUCUGCACACUUCUGAUUUCUUGAAACAAGUGCCUUUGUUUGCUUUUCAUGCAAAAGGUAGUGAGGAACUUGAUAGUAUAGCACAACAAGACAUAUCUGGUUUCGACAACGUGAUGUAGAGAGUCUGUAUGGAGGAUGGCAGCACUUCUCGCAAUGGUCAAUGUGAGAAUAGUAUGAGAAAGUUUCCAUAUUGAACAACAAAACAGCAAAACACCAAAGCUGAUUUUUCAGCAAUGCAAGGCAGAAGAAGAGCAUAAAAGACUCUCAUUGUACAGCAUUUUUUAGUUACCACAAGAGUUAGUUUACCUUUUAUGUAGUGGCACCAGUAAGUACACUGCUCAGUGAAAACAGGGAAAGCUAAAAUUACACUUCUCUUGGUUGUAUGAGCCUCACAGCAAAGGGCCUGUAUCACAGAAUAAAGCUCUUUAAAUAGAGUGAUAUCUGGAAGACAGUCUGGUUCUUAUUGCAUGUCAAAAGUGUGCCUAGUGCUGGAUUGAUUAAGGAGGCCCACUGGGAUUUUACAAUCUAAGCUUCCAAUCCCUCUAAUACUUGCUAUCAAGCAUAAUACUUGCUAUCGAGCAUAGCACAUAAUAUCCAUCAGGAGUAUUCCCAUUAUUUCAGUGAGGUUCCUCAGAUGAAUGGAGUGGCAUGGUGGAGACAUGAAGAUUCCCACCUGAUCCUGCUGCCUUUGAUGGGAUAACAGCUCUGUCAUGACAGCAGUCUGGCAAAGCCCAAGUAACUUAUGCUCAGGAUGAGCAAGGGAAACAGAAAACAAGUCCCUAAAGGGUGAUGAGAAAAAUCUUACUAUGGAAAUGUCAAUGGGUUAAGUUGCAGCUUAGCUGAGCCACAGCAAAGAGAUCAUCAAGGAUAACUUUCUUGAAGCUGAAGGCACACACUAAAGAAAGGACAAAGCAUCCCCUCAACUGCUGCUUUGGAAAGUGCCAGGAAUUAUGACUAUAAAAAAGGUACUUUUCAGUUCCCUUACACCUCCCCCAUUCACAGGCUAGCUCACAGGGCUACAUCCACAGAGGCCUUAGUAUUUAGGGUUCCCGGACUGAACUGGCUCCCUCCUGCCUUUAAUGGUCCAUCUGGGGGGUGAGUCAUCCUUCAGUCUCCUUGCCUGGGGAGUCAGUAGUUUUUUCCACACUGGAGCUUGAACGUUGUUUUGGGGUUUGCACUGCAGGCCUGGUCUCCAAAUCCUUCAGACCAUGAGGCCUGCAGGAGAAUACCACAGUUUCCUUCAUGCCUGUGUGCCUGCAUUUUUUUUUUUCUGGAGCAUGUCUGGGGAGGCAAGAGGGCUAAGCUGCAGCAGAUCUAAUGGCAACAUGAAGUAGUGGGAUGUUCCCAAGCCCCACAGUGUCAAUCCAGGCAAGAGACACAAGAUAGGCAGUAUGGGGAACUGGGGCUCAAGGAAUAUUGAUCCAUGAAUUAACAUGUCAGGAUGGACUUAUAUCACACCCAAGAGAUCACAAGGUACUAAAAAACAGAGAACACUUAAACUCCUCCCUGUCCCAAAUUUUCUAGGUCAGGCAGCCCUGUCAGGCUUUGCAUCUGUUUUGUGUGCAGAAGGCUUCAGCUGCAAAGGUGGAGGGGUUUUCUUUCUUUUCUUUUUUAUGGUCAUGGUCAUGGGAGUGGAAGUGGGUAUGGACUGAUGAAUAAGGAAUUGUUUUCAGUUUUCAGAUUAACAUAGGACACACAGGACUCUGCAUUGCCUGAGUCAUGAGACUAGUCUCUGCAUCACACAUGUAGUGAGAUGAGACUCAUGGAACAAGUGCAGCUCAUCUGGGCAAGGCAAUGGAAGUUGGUUGUAAGGUACUGAGGGUCCAGGCCUUGGAUCAGGGCUUUAAGACUACCUUUAGGGAACUUCUUGAGAACUGCAGUGAUGUAAUGACAACAAACACAUGUCCUCCAGAAACAAAUGUGAGGAUUGUCUGGGAACAGUGAGAACUAGCUCCAAAGCUCAUCUUUUGGAGCUAGGCCCAUGCUGUCUGUGUGAGAAAGCUUGAGGCUGAUCGUUCACACAGACAGGACUUAAAAUCUUAGGCUCUAGCACUGGCAGAAGGCAUUCCCCAGACUGUACAGGACAUGUGCUCAGUGCAUGCAGUGGGGAUUGAAGGUACUGGGUCAGGUGGGAUAAAACAGUUUGGUUGCAGGCUGCCCUCAGAGCAACUGUAUGGCCAAGCACACUGUGUUCAAGUCUAUCUGGGGAUGACUCUAGGGUGAAGCAGCUAUAGCUAGUGCUGACCAGCUGUGUGGAUCCAGCAAGGCUGAAGGUGCUUUUGGCCACCCCAGGGAAAGCUAUCACAGCUCUUCUUGACUUCAGAGGUAUCCUAGUAUGACAUCUUUCUCAGCAUGCCGAACAAGACCAUCAUAGUUGGAUUCACCUGUUCUCUCUUGCUCUUAUUACCAAGGCAGUAAACCAAGCCAUUCCCACAUGGAAGAGAGAGAACUGCAGCUCUGUCCUUAUGGACUUCCAUUUCUGCUUUGCGAUCUGGUGGGAGGAGUGGGGGAAGAAAGAAUGAAGCAGAGUUCCCUUUCUACAAAUUAAGGGAAGCUCAACCUUGAACCCUCAGCAUUGCAGAUCUUAUGAAAUGCCACAGAAGUCAGAGUUCCUGCUUGCAGACCCACUGUUUCUGAGGCAUCCCAUGUGGUAACUUUUCCCAUUCUUUCCAUUCUCCCUAUUCCCCAGUGUGGAGGGAGAAAGAGGAAGUGACAACAACCCCAUAGGACCAAAGGGAUUACAUAUCUUGUAGAAGGAACUGGCGUAUACUAAAGGUAAAAGGCUGAGCAAUGACUCUGACUGUGUGCGUGUCUCAGAGAGGUGUUGCAGAUAAUGCUGAGUCUGGUAACCUUCCAGCUCUCCUCCUCCCACAUUUUUCUACUCUAAGAAGCUUGCCCUUCAUGGAUCAUUCUGGAGCAUUCAGGCCUGAAGGUAAGGCUGAACACAAUGAUUAGUGCUAGUGUCUAGCUUCCUAAGAGAUUAUGCUACAUUUUGCUCCCCUCUGACCGUUACUACAUAAAACUGAGUGAGGCAGGCCCAAGAAUCAUGUGCACACUUCUGUCCUCUUUACAGCCUCUUCUUUGCCAAGGACUGUGUAUUUGUUUUAGUUAAAGAAGCUUGUGACUGAAAACAGCUGCAGACUGAGUGGAAAAAAAACACCUAAAAAUAGCCCCAGCCUGAGAGCACAAUGUGCAUUGAUUUUACUAUGGAGAGUACAAGAGCAGGAAGGUGGUGGUGACUAGGUUGGUAUGUUCUAAUACGUCUAGCCCUGCCAUAUUUAGAGUGCAUGUAGUAGGCCCGGCAGCCAAGUCAGUCCAUGUAGGUAUUUGACUACUUUGGACGUGUUCCCGGCAGAGCCACUCCAACUACAACAAAAUAACGUGGUAUUUUUAUGAGCUGACAGUGAGGAAAUCACCCCACAGUAAUACCAUGUUCUGCAGAGAACAGAGAAUAUGUAAUGGCUGAAUAAGGAAGAUAAAUCUCCCACUGGUUGUUCCACUCAAAACAUUUUCCCAGAAUAAAUUAUCAAAUAGAUAACAUCAUUUUCUCUGGCCUGCUGUAUGCUAGGUUGGUACCUGAAGGAGAAGCCAAUUCUAGAUGCAGAUCACAGAUGCACUAAUUUAUCUCACAGUUUUGCCAACCUGAAUGGGCCAAGCCCAUGCAGCAGCUUGACAGAAAUCUUAGUUCAGAUUCACCACCACAGACAACAAGGGGGCAUCAUUUCUAUGUUAUGACGACUGUGAUUCCCCACUUACAGGUUGGUGGCAGGAUCAUGUGCUUGUCUCCUCAGAGACGGCAGCUUUGAAUUAAGGAUGAAGUUUUACAGGACCUUUGCCAGUGAAGACCUACCCCAGCAUGAACCUGCUCACUGCCUGACCACCUCCAGGCCUUAAAGCCAUGGAGACUGCGGGUUAAAACUAUUGUGAUAUGCCGUAUGACAUGCCCUCAUGCUGGAUAUUCAUUCAUCGGUGGCACAAGCCGCUCGGAAAAGAUAGAACAGAUGAACUGGGUCAUUUUACUUGCCACCUUCCACUUUGUAAGAACAAUAGGAAUCCCCUGAAACUACCUGACCAUUUUUCUCCAAGAGAUAAAGGCAAGUAAAAAUGACACACCAGAUGUUUCAUCUUUUCAGAGGACAGUACCCUAAGAAAGAGACAUUUCGCACAAAAAUACUCAACUUACAUUAUCAGGAGAAAUAUUCUGAGUUGGUACCAACUGUGCAUUGUUGUCUUUAUUUACUGCUUUCUCUAAAUAUGUAAAUAGGUAAGAAAAUUCAGCAUCCAUAUUCUUUUAGUUUUAGGAAUUCUGGGCAACUUUGUGUAGAAACUAUUGGACCAAAAACCGAAAUCCUUUAAAAAGAGUAUCUCAAAGUAAAUUCUUUUUAGCCCAAAUCACUAUUGAACCGUUCAAUUUGUUAUCAGUUGAUAUCAUGAAAAACAUAAGAUCCAUGAAAGAAAUAGGAAUAGGCGUCAAUGAAGAUAAUGCGGAUCCUGAAGACAGCAUCAAGGGCCGGGUUGUGGUAGAGGACACCUUAGUGGCUGUUACUUUUCAUAAUAUCUGCUAGUAGCUAUAUAUUUCUAACUAGAUGGAAUAUCCUGGUUUACCUUGGGUGGCUGUAAGUUUAGAGCAACUCAUCUGAGAAGAGGACAUGGAUUCCUGAAUGUCAUUCUUCAUAUUGAGCAAUGGAAGCAAAUAUUGUGAUACUUUCCCUCUACUCAGCCCUGGUGAAACACACCUGGAGGACUGUGUCCAGUUCUGGGCUUCCAAGUAUAAGAGAGAGAAAGAGCUACUGAAGAAAGACAAGAAGUAAGAAGUAAAGAGCAAUGUGGUACCCAGAAAAAGAAGUCUCACAGGGACAAGGUGGACAGUCAGUGUUACCUCAUGGAUAAUAUACCGUUACAGAAAUAAUGCUCAGAAGACAGCCCAGCACAAAAUGCCUCCAGGUUCUCGCUGUGUAGAGUUGUAAAUAAACACAGUUCUAUGGAGAAGGCUAACCAAAAAAUAUACUCUAUGCUCUGUGAAUAGCUACUGAUUUCAACAAAGAAAUGGCUGAAAAUUUCAGGGAAUGGAGACAAGCAUUUCAAGGAACUCUUACACUGAAAAUCCAAGCUAAUUAUCUGAAAAUAACAUCUGUUACAUUCAAGCUCCAAAGCACACACCUCCUAACAAGAAGGAUCAGAAAAACACUGGUUAUUUAUACAUAAUAUAUUUUAACUAACUGGUGGCAGUACUGGAAUCAUAAUGAUUUCCGGCUCUCUGUGUCCCUCAUCACACAGCAAGAACUCAUGGCUCAUCCAGGAGACAUCAGAGUAACAGACAUACCUCGAAAACAUCUUCAGCUUUAACAAAUUCGGCAGGACUAAGAACACAGCUUUAUGACUAGACCACAUGGGAUAAAAGAUGCCAACCAUUAAAAAACAAGUUUGCCAAAUAUACUGCUGAGUUGCUUUCUCUUUGCUAAUCUGUGUAUCUGCUGCUAUACAAAAGAGCUUUCAAGAACUGGCCUGAUGAAGCAUUCUCAUUCUUUCUUCCCAUAAAAAAAGCAGACCUGGCACAGGCACAGUAAAUAAAAAUAACAAGCAUAUGAUGCCCAAGAUGCAUGUGAACAUUAAGUGACGUUGGCAGCCCCCGCAAAUAGAACUCCAGUUAAAAAUAGCCUUUGUCUAAAUGCGGAAAGUGAGUAAAUAUAGUAGCAGUUUCAGCUUACUAUAGAGGCUUACAAGCUCCAAGUAACGGAGCUUAUUAUAGAGCAUGUGCGUCAGAGAGGGGAAGAAAAGGGAGAAGAGAAAGACAACGCUCUCUGCAAUUAGUAUCUACAAUGAGACAUAAAUUAAUUUUUUCCUCUGUUAUUUUUCUUGUUGCUUAAAAAAUGGACAAGGGAAGAGCACUUUUGAAAUGCAGAUGUCUUCCUGUUGUAACAGUGCUAAAGAGAAAAAGAGGAAUUGAGGAGCAAGAUGAAACUAGCACCAAAAAGCAACACAGAGAGCUUUCUGCACAAAGAAUGGUUGCACAGAAAAUGAGACGUAAAAGCAGACGACAAGAGAGAUUUUGAUCUUAGUCUCACUGAGACGAAUAAGGAGUACAGUAACCUGGCUGGAGGGAGCUCUCCUGGAUUUGCAUGCACUUGUUUGACUGAACAUAACCCAGCGAGCCAACUUUUGGGCUGACUGAAAAGAAACCGACGUCAGUGUUUUCCCCUGGCACUGUUCAUUCUUUACUUUCAAGGAAAUUUCACAAGUGUCUAGUGACUGUAGAACUGACUUUGCUGAAAAAAAUGUAUGUGGUGUUUCACUUCAUAACCAAUUUUUAACUGUGAAUGUCCACAAAGAAAAUCUGUGAGAUAAUUUAUACGCAAGGAAGAGACCUGCUGUGGAACCCAGAUAUACAUUAAGUAACAUCCUCCAGACAUUAUCUCCACACAUGAUUCUUCAGGCAGUGCAUCGUUUAAUUUUUUUGCCUUCAAUUUUAGUUGGAUUGACAAAAAGGCAAGAAACAUUGGCUGUUUUGAGUUUCUGGUCUUUUCAAACGAGGUGUAAGGGUGGGAAAGUUCUUACUUCUUUCAAUGUGCAAUUCAAUUAAAGACAAGAAAUAGCUCCCCAAAGCUGCAAGUCCUCCCCCACUUCACACAGAUAAAGGGCACUGUUCACGGGAUUCAGUGGGCUUCUUUUUCUGUACUGGCUUCUUAUCUUCUUACUUUGGAUUGAGAACAAUGGGGUGACAGUGCAUGAUCUAAAAGUUGUGGCUGGUAAGAGUUGUCAGCAAAGUUGCUUUAUGCAAGUGGCAUGGUAAACAAAUGCUAUAAAUUCCCAAGUAGAGCCUAAAUUAGCUUUUGGCAUAAUGCAUCUCACUAUAACAAGUUAAUUUUACUGCUCCAAGGAAUACCCUUAUAUGGUUCACUUAAGUAAUCAUGCUAAAUGAAUAUUUAAGUGAGAACAGUUUGCCAAAUGCAAAGCAAGAACCAUAUAUAACCUCUUACACAACUACAUAACACAGCAGUGCUGGCUGGUUUCCAAAAUUCUGGUUUAUGUACAAAUCAUAUCUGCUAACUCCAACUAAUACGUGAGCCAAAAAGAAGCUACCUGGAAAAUACUAGCAUGACUGUUUAGGAUUAAUAAUUUAGCACUUGUCGUGGUCUGUCUUCCUCAUAACUGUGCAAAUGAGACCUCCUCCCCACCUUUCUAUUAUGGCAUAGAAUAGUUUUGGCAAUCUCCUUUACUUUCAUUGUUUUGCUGUGAAAGAAGGAAAAAGAAAGGAAGGAAAAGAGAAAACCGAUAUGCCAAAA